UUGCAUUCUAAUUUUGUUGGUACAAUAAUAGUCUCCUUUUAUAUGCGUACAUAUUAUAUGUCAAUUCCGUGUCUCCUCCUUUUCAUGCCACCAUCCCCUUAUUAUAUUACACAUAUCAUUUUUAUUUAUCAUAUCAUAUCAAAAAUAAAAAAAGAAAGUCCAUGGAAACGGAGCGCAACUAAGUCCCUGUUUGUUUACGCGUUCCGUUUACCUUUCCUUCACUCACACAACACUAUUCUCAUUUCCCUUUUAAACACAAACCAAACACACCCUUCCUCCCAAAACCUCUCCCAACAAGUCUCUCCUCUCCGAUCCCCCAAUCCACAGAUCCAUGAACACACCACCACCAUAACCCUCCACACCCCCCCAUAA